GAUGAACGCUGGCGGCGUGCCUAAUACAUGCAAGUCGAGCGAAUGGAUUAAGAGCUUGCUCUUAUGAAGUUAGCGGCGGACGGGUGAGUAACACGUGGGUAACCUGCCCAUAAGACUGGGAUAACUCCGGGAAACCGGGGCUAAUACCGGAUAACAUUUUGAACCGCAUGGUUCGAAAUUGAAAGGCGGCGUCGGCUGUCACUUAUGGAUGGAGCCGCGUCGCAUUAGCUAGUUGGUGAGGUAACGGCUGACCAAGGCAACGAUGCGUAGCCGACCUGAGAGGGUGAUCGGCCACACUGGGACUGAGACACGGCCCAGACUCCUACGGGAGGCAGCAGUAGGGAAUCUUCCGCAAUGGACGAAAGUCUGACGGAGCAACGCCGCGUGAGUGAUGAAGGCUUUCGGAUCGUAAAACUCUGUUGUUAGGGAAGAACAAGUGCUAGUUGAAUAAGCUGGCACCUUGACGGUACCUAACCAGAAAGCCACGGCUAACUACGUGCCAGCCGCCGCGGUAA
rnacentral:rRNA from 1 species